UUUCAUAGAAAGAUAAUCGGUGCCUGCAAUGAAAUUCAUUCAUAUGCAGGGUAAAAGGGAAACAGGUGUAAAUCCUGUACGAACUCGUCACUGUAAGAAGGGAGUAACGUAGUCAGGCUUUUAAAAGCGCCACUGAUGCACAGACAUUGGGAAGGUGAUUACGGAGCGUUAAUCUUUGAGUCAGGAAACCUGCCGUUUAUCUGGUACGGGAA
rnacentral:ncRNA from 18 species